AAAUAAUACCACAUUUUUGUGUCAGAUGUUGUUACCAACGGAAUCAUAUUUUGAAGAUUUCAACGAAUCUCGUCCUCUCCGUGAAAACGAAGACAAAGGAACCACUCUCAUUGCAAUCCAAUGCGAAAACUGUUUAGUUCUUGGUUCUGACACAAAAACGUCUUCAGGAAUUAUCGUAAGCGAAUAUUACUCUCAAAAAUUCACAAAAAUAAGCGACAGAAUUGUAAUAAUGCGUGCAGGAAGUGCAGCGGACACUCAAAUGAUUGCCCGCAUAUUGGAGGCCACUCUGAACAUGCACAG